GACGAACGCUGGCGGCGUGCUUAACACAUGCAAGUCGAACGGAAAGGCCCUGCUUUUGUGGGGUGCUCGAGUGGCGAACGGGCGAGUAACACGUGAGUCACCUGCCCUUGACUUUGGUAUAACUUCAGGAAACUGGGGCUAAUACCGGAUAGGAGCUCCUGCUGCAUGGUGGGGGUUGGAAAGUUUCGGCGGUUGGGGAUGGACUCGCUGCCUAUCAGCUUGUUGGUGGGGUAGUGGCUUACCAAGGCUUUGACGGGAAGCCGGCCUGAGAGGGUGACCGGCCACAUGGGGACUGAGAUACGGCCCAGAGUCCUACGGGAGGCAGCAGUGGGGAAUAUUGCACAAUGGGCGGAAGCCGGAUGCAGCAACGCCGCGUGCGGGAUGACGGCCUUCGGGUUGUAAACCGCUUUCGCCUGUGACGAUGCGUGAGUGACGGUAAUGGGUAAAGAAGCACCGGCUAACUACGUG
rnacentral:rRNA from 1 species